CUCUGCCUGCCUCUCUUUCUCUGUCUUUCUCUGUCAAAUAAAAAAACCUCAAAAAAAAAAAGUUGUGCCCCAUUUUAGGGUAGGGUUCUGUUACUUUCUCAGAAUUUUGAGGGUCCUCUGCUUACCAACACCUUUCUGCCUCAUCCACUUGAUUUUUUUCUGAUUGCAUUCGCCUCUCAUGCUCUUCUGCUAAAGACACCUUCUCUUUGGCACUCCCAAGAUCCAUGUUAAUUGUUCCUUUCUCUUUCCUUGCACACUCUAACGUUUUAUGACUUCUGCCUGAAACCUUUAUCCUCCCAGUUUUGUACUAUCCUUGGUCCUCUUUUCCUUCAAAAUGUGGUUGCAAAUUGUUUUUCUUUGAUGGAACCGCACAUAGGCAUUAACAUUUUUAAUCCAGGUUUUAAUGAGGUUGCUAGAACAGUGCGUCUGGGUUUUUUUAAUGUGUGCCAAUUGCCUUUAUUUCAGAUGUAAAUCUGUUGAGAGCAGAGACUGUCCUUAAAUAUUUGUUCUUCCCUUCUUCCUUGCCAUGUUCAGGAUGUGAUUUUAUUUAUUUGACAGAGAGAUCACAAGUAGGCAGAAGCAGGCUCCCCACUGAGCAGAGAGCCCAAUGUGGGGCUCGAUCCCAGGACCCUGAGAUCAUGACCGGAGCAGAGGCUUAUCCCACUGAGCCACCCAGGUAUCCCAUCAUGACCUUUUCUUUUGUAUUCCUACCUUU
rnacentral:lncRNA from 1 species